AUUGAACGCUGGCGGCAGGCCUAACACAUGCAAGUCGAGCGGAUGAAGGGAGCUUGCUCCUGUAUUCAGCGGCGGACGGGUGAGUAAUGCCUAGGAAUCUGCCUGGUAGUGGGGGAUAACGUCCGGAAACGGGCGCUAAUACCGCAUACGUCCUGAGGGAGAAAGUGGGGGAUCUUCGGACCUCACGCUAUCAGAUGAGCCUAGGUCGGAUUAGCUAGUUGGUGGGGUAAAGGCCUACCAAGGCGACGAUCCGUAACUGGUCUGAGAGGAUGAUCAGUCACACUGGAACUGAGACACGGUCCAGACUCCUACGGGAGGCAGCAGUGGGGAAUAUUGGACAAUGGGCGAAAGCCUGAUCCAGCCAUGCCGCGUGUGUGAAGAAGGUCUUCGGAUUGUAAAGCACUUUAAGUUGGGAGGAAGGGCAGUAAGUUAAUACCUUGCUGUUUUGACGUUACCAACAGAAUAAGCACCGGCUAACUUCGU
rnacentral:rRNA from 1 species